rnacentral:misc_RNA from 1 species
AACGCACAUUGCGCCCCCUGGCAUUCCGGGGGGCACACCUGUCCGAGCGCCGUCGCAACACUGAGGCCCAGCCUUGCGUUGGCGGCCGGCCCUUUUGUUGAAAAGGGGCCGCCGCCCAAACUUCGACGGCGCCGCACCGCGGCCGACGAUGCGCGAAAAGCACCCGUCCCGUGGGAGCGGCCGCCUUGUGUCCACACAAAGCUUGGCCUCGGAUCAGGUGGGGAUACCCGCUGAACUUAA